AGCAGCCGCGGUAAUUCCAGCUCCAAUAGCGUAUAUUAAAGUUGUUGCAGUUAAAAAGCUCGUAGUUGAAUUUCGGGAUCAAUUAGUCGGUCGUGCCUCUGGUACGUACUGGUUUUAUUGGUUCCUCCCUUCUGACGAAACAUGAUGUCAUUAAUUUGGUGUCGUGGAGAAUCAGGACUGUUACCUUGAAAAAAUUAGAGUGUUUAUAGCAGGCUAACGCUUGAAUACAUUAGCAUGGAAUAAUGAAAUAGGACGUUCGACCCUAUUUUGUUGGUUUCUAGGAUCGACGUAAUGAUUAAUAGGGAUAGUUGGGGGCAUUAGUAUUCAAUCGUCAGAGGUGAAAUUCUUGGAUUUAUUGAAGACUAACUACUGCGAAAAGCAUUUGCCAAGGAUGUUUUCAUUAAUCAAGAACGAAAGUUAGGGGAUCGAAGACGAUCAGAUACCGUCGUAGUCUUAACCAUAAACUAUGCCGACUA
rnacentral:misc_RNA from 1 species